rnacentral:rRNA from 1 species
AACGUAGGUGGCAAGCGUUAUCCGGAAUUACUGGGCGUAAAGGGUGUGCAGGCGGGGAAGCAAGUGGUGUAUGAAAUCUCCCAGCUUAACUGGGAUAGGUUAUGCCAGACUGCUUUUCUAGAGGACGAGAGAGGGAUGCGGAAUUCCAGGUGUAGCGGUGAAAUGCGUAGAUAUCUGGAGGAACACCGGUGGCGAAGGCGGUUCUCUGGGCAUUACCUGACGCUGAGGAGCGAAAGUGUGGGGAGCGAACAGG